rnacentral:rRNA from 1 species
GUUGGGAAUCUUGCGCAAUGGGCGAAAGCCUGACGCAGCGACGCCGCGUGGGGGACGAAGGCUCUUGGGUCGUAAACCCCUUUUGCCGGGGAAGAAGUACUGACGGUACCCGGCGAAUAAGCCACGGCUAACUACGUGCCAGCAGCCGCGGUAAUACGUAGGUGGCAAGCGUUGUCCGGAUUUACUGGGCGUAAAGCGCGUGUAGGCGGCUCGUUAAGUCUGUCGUGAAAUCUCCCGGCUCAACCGGGAUAGGUCGACGGAUACUGGCGGGCUUGAGGGAUGCAGAGGAAGGUGGAAUUCCCGGUGUAGUGGUGAAAUGCGUAGAUAUCGGGAGGAACACCAGUGGCGAAGGCGGCCUUCUGGGCAUUUCCUGACGCUGAGACGCGAAAGCGUGGGGAGCGAACCGGAUUAGAUACCCCUGUAGUCC